rnacentral:rRNA from 1 species
AGUGGGAGCACCCUUUGGGGUGUGACUGCGUACCUUUUGUAUAAUGGGUCAGCGACUUAUAUUCUGUAGCAAGGUUAACCGAAUAGGGGAGCCGGAGGGAAACCGAGUCUUAACCGGGCGUUAAGUUGCAGGGUAUAGACCCGAAACCCGGUGAUCUAGCCAUGGGCAGGUUGAAGGUUGGGUAACACUAACUGGAGGACCGAACCGACUAAUGUUGAAAAAUUAGCGGAUGACCUGUGGCUGGGGGUGAAAGGCCAAUCAAACCGGGAGAUAGCUGGUUCUCCCCGAAAGCUAUUUAGGUAGCGCCUCGUGAAUUCAUCUCCGGGGGUAGAGCACUGUUUCGGCUAGGGGGCCAUCCCGGCUUACCAACCCGAUGCAAACUGCGAAUACCGGAGAAUGUUAUCACGGGAGACACACGGCGGGUGCUAACGUCCGUCGUGAAGAGGGAAACAACCCAGACCGCCAGCUAAGGUCCCAAAGUCAUGGUUAAGUGGGAAACGAUGUGGGAAGGCCCAGACAGCCAGGAUGUUGGCUUAGAAGCAGCCAUCAUUUAAAGAAAGCGUAAUAGCUCACUGGUCGAGUCGGCCUGCGCGGAAGAUGUAACGGGGCUAAACCAUG